rnacentral:RNase_P_RNA from 1 species
AGUAGAAUGGAUGAUCGCGGGGAUGACUCAGUCAUCCGUGAGGAAAGUCCGGGCUUCACAGGGCAGGAUGCCGGAUAACGUCCGGUUGAGGUGACUCAAAGGAAAGUGCAACAGAAAGUAUACCGCCUGUCUUUGACAGGUAAGGGUGAAAUGGCGAGGUAAGAGCUCACCGCCUGGCUGGUAACAGACAGGGCAUUGUAAACCCCAUCCGAAGCAAGACCAAGACGAAGUGCUGACGCGGCCCGCCGAGCUUCAGGUAGGUUGCUUGAGCUGUGCAGUAAUGUACAGCCUAGAUGGAUGAUCAUCCACGACAUAACCCGGCUUACAGUUCUACUCGC